rnacentral:rRNA from 1 species
UACAGAGGGUGCAAGCGUUGUUCGGAAUCAUUGGGCGUAAAGCGCGUGUAGGCGGCCAGGUAGGUCGGUUGUGAAAACUCGAGGCUCAACCUCGAGACGUCGACCGAAACCAUCUGGCUAGAGUCCGGAAGAGGAGAGUGGAAUUCCUGGUGUAGCGGUGAAAUGCGCAGAUAUCAGGAAGAACACCCGUGGCGAAGGCGACUUCCUGGCCUGUUCUUGACGCUGAGGCGCGAAAGCUAGGGGAGCAAACGGG